rnacentral:rRNA from 1 species
UCUUAGUCAUGCAAGUCGAACGAGAAAGCACCUUCGGGUGUGAGUAAAGUGGCGGACGGGUGAGUAACACGUGGGUAACCUGCCUUCGAGUGGGGAACAACCCUUCUAACGAGGGGCUAAUACCGCAUAAUGCAGCGGCUCCGCAUGGAGACAGUUGUUAAAGGGGCAGCUUCGGCUGUCUCGCUUGAAGAUGGACCCGCGGUCCAUUAGCUUGUUGGUGAGGUAACGGCUCACCAAGGCAACGAUGGAUAGCCGGCCUGAGAGGGUGUACGGCCACACUGGAACUGAGAAAGGUCCAGUCCCCUACGGGGGCCAGCAGUCUAGAAAUUUGCGCAAUGGGCGAAAGCCUGACGCAGCGACGCCACGUGGAGGAUGAAGCCCUUAGGGGUGUAAACUCCUGUCAGAAGGGAAGAAUGCAGGAAAUAACUUUUCCUGUUUGACUGUACCUUCAGAGGAAGCCCCGGCUAACUUCGUGCCAGCAGCCGCGGUAAUACGAAGGGGGCAAGCGUUGUUCGGAUUUACUGGGCGUAAAGGGCGUGCAGGCGGACCGAUAAGUCGUCUGUGAAAUCUGUCGGCUCAACCAACAACUUGCAGUCGAAACUAUCGGUCUUGAGUACAGGAGAGGAGAGCGGAAUCUCAGGUGUAGCGGUGAAAUGCGUAGAUAUCUGGGAGAACACCGGUGGCGAAGGCGGCUCUCUGGCCUGAUACUGACGCUGAGGCGCGAAAGCUAGGGGAGCGAACGGGAUUAGAUACCCCGGUAGUCCUAGCUGUAAACGAUGGGUACUAGGUGUUGGAGGUAUUGACCCCUCCAGUGCCGCAGCUAACGCAUUAAGUACCCC